rnacentral:rRNA from 1 species
CUAUGCGCCUUGCCAGCCCGCUCAGGUGUGCCAGCCGCCGCGGUAAUACGUAGGUGGCGAGCGUUAUCCGGAAUGAUUGGGCGUAAAGGGUGCGCAGGCGGUCCUGCAAGUCUGGAGUGAAACGCAUGAGCUCAACUCAUGCAUGGCUUUGGAAACUGGAGGACUGGAGAGCAGGAGAGGGCGGUGGAACUCCAUGUGUAGCGGUAAAAUGCGUAGAUAUAUGGAAGAACACCAGUGGCGAAGGCGGCCGCCUGGCCUGUUGCUGACGCUGAGCACGAAAGCGUGGGAGCAAAUAAG